GUUGCUGUGCUAACGACCGUUGGAACCCUCUUUCCUGCUCUUGGAACGCUCGGCUCUGAGAGGCUCCAGGUUUCUCCGCCAGAGCUCCUGUCGCUCUGUCACUUGCGCUGUGUUCCUCUCUAGUCACAAGAGCCUUGGGGAAGACAGUUGGAAGCUCAGACAUGAGGUCAGGUUCUUGAAGGUUUCCUGCAUCACAUCCCUGUAGAGAUUCUUCUGGGAAGGAUCCAGCAAAGCCCACUCCUCCUGGGUGAAGCUGACAGCCACAUCCUCAAAGGCCACUGAAUCCUGAAACAUCUCACAUAUGUAAAGGAGGACAGAAUAAAUAGGCCAGGCACAGUGGCUCAUGCCUGUAAUCCCAGCACUUUGGGAGGCCAAGGUGGGCGGAUCACCUGAGGUCGGGAGUUCGAAACCAGCCUGACCAACAUGGAGAAACCCUGUCUCUAUUAAAAAAAAAAAUACACAAUUAGCUGGGCAUGUUGGCACAUGCCUGUAAUCCCAGCUACUCGGGAGGCUGAGGCAGGAGAAUCGCUUGAACUUGGGAAGCGG
rnacentral:sRNA from 1 species